UGCAGAAUCCCGUGAACCAUCGAGUCUUUGAACGCAAGUUGCGCCCCAAGCCUUCUGGCCGAGGGCACGUCUGCCUGGGUGUCACAAAUCGUCGUCCCCCAAUCCUCAUGAGGAUAUGGGACGGAAGCUGGUCUCCCGUGUUGUACCGAACGCGGUUGGCCAAAAUCCGAGCUAAGGACGCCAGGAGCGUCUCGACAUGCGGUGGUGAAUUCAAGCCUCUUGAUUUUGUCGGUCGCUCUUGUCCGGAAGCUCUUGAUGACCCAAAGUCCUCAAUGCGACCCCAGGUCAGGCGGGAUCACCCGCUGAGUUUAAGCAUAUCAAUAAGCGGAGGAAAAGAAACUAACUAGGAUUCCCUUAGUAACGGCGAGCGAACCGGGAAAAGCCCAGCUUGAAAAUCGGAUGUCUUUGGCGUUCGA
rnacentral:rRNA from 1 species